UACGUAGGGUGCAAGCGUUAAUCGGAAUUACUGGGCGUAAAGCGUGCGCAGGCGGUUUUGUAAGUCAGAUGUGAAAUCCCCGGGCUUAACCUGGGAACUGCGUUUGAAACUACAAGGCUAGAGUGUGGCAGAGGGGGGUGGAAUUCCACGUGUAGCAGUGAAAUGCGUAGAGAUGUGGAGGAACACCGAUGGCGAAGGCAGCCCCCUGGGCCGACCCUGACGCUGAGGCGCGAAGGCCGGGGGAGCGAACGGG
rnacentral:rRNA from 1 species